GAUGAACGCUGGCGGCGUGCUUAACACAUGCAAGUCGAACGGAAAGGCCCAAGCUUGCUUGGGUACUCGAGUGGCGAACGGGUGAGUAACACGUGGGUGAUCUGCCCUGCACUUCGGGAUAAGCCUGGGAAACUGGGUCUAAUACCGGAUAGGACGAUGGUUUGGAUGCCAUUGUGGAAAGUUUUUUCGGUGUGGGAUGAGCUCGCGGCCUAUCAGCUUGUUGGUGGGGUAAUGGCCUACCAAGGCGUCGACGGGUAGCCGGCCUGAGAGGGUGUACGGCCACAUUGGGACUGAGAUACGGCCCAGACUCCUACGGGAGGCAGCAGUGGGGAAGAUUGCACAAUGGGCGCAGGCCUGAUGCAGCGACGCCGCGUGGGGGAUGACGGCCUUCGGGUUGUAAACUCCUUUCGCUAGGGACGAAGCGUUUUUGUGACGGUACCUGGAGAAGAAGCACCGGCUAACUACGUG
rnacentral:rRNA from 1 species